rnacentral:rRNA from 1 species
UACAGAGGUCUCAAGCGUUGUUCGGAUUCAUUGGGCGUAAAGGGCGCGUAGGCUGCGGGGCAAGUCGGGUGUGAAAUCUCAGAGCUCAACUCUGAAACUGCACUCGAUACUGCUUUGCUCGAGGACUGGAGAGGAGAUUGGAAUUCACGGUGUAGCAGUGAAAUGCGUAGAUAUCGUGAGGAAGACCAGUGGCGAAGGCGGAUCUCUGGACAGUUCCUGACGCUGAGGCGCGAAGGCCAGGGGGAGCAAACGGGG